CGCCUUCUCAGUCGCGCGCUCGGCGACACACACAUACACACACGUGCACAGCCGUCCUCAGCGUGCGUGCCUCCGGUAGUCUUGUCUUUACUCUCCUUUGUCUUGCUUCUCGCCUUCGUGGCGCUCAGUGUAAUGCUGCGCGCGUGCCGGCGUCGGCACACGAUCUUCGACGCCUGUUACGUCCUGAACCUCGACAGGCGACCUGAUCGCUGGGCACAUGUGCAGCAGCAGGUAAAGCGGGCGAAGCUGCACAAGUUUCUAAAGCCCGGCGUGGAGGUGACGCGCGUCAGCGGCAUCGAUGGGCACGAGCUCGAUGUUGCAAGCUUGCACAGGGACGGGGUGCUCACCGACCGAGGCUAUCAGCGCUACCAACUCCCCACGGAGCAGAAGCUUUACGGCAUGGACCUGACGAAGGGCGCCAUUGGCUGCGCGCUUUCUCAUCGUGCGGUCUGGCAGCGGGUGGUAGCGGAGCAUCGUGAGUGCGUCCUCAUCCUCGAGGACGACCUUGAGUUCCAUCACCAGUUUUCCCGCCAGUUCGCGGAGCGCUGGUCACGGGUGCCGGCUGACUGGGGGAUCGUGCACAUGGGCGGCCUCGAUCUACUCGCGAGUGGCAAGGCGCCGCGGCCGUACAUAGCGGACGGCAUCCGCCUAGCGUACGAAGGGCACCGCGAGCUCACCGCGUAUGUGGCGCAUGCCGCCUCCGCUCAGCGCUGCCUCGAUCUGUCGCUGCCCAUGACGUGGCAAGUGGACACCCACAUCAGCAGCUGCCUUGCCGACGACGCUGCGGCGCAAGAUAAGUACAUCGCCGACCCCAAGAUGUACGUGUUCCAGCCAUCGUUGGUGAUUCAGCUCAUGUCCUUCACGACAGACGUCCAGAAGAAGCCCACCGACAACCCCGCUCUCGCAGAUGCCGCGCGCCGUUUGCGGGAGUUCGUCGGUGGUGGCACGUCUGUUCGUUAAGCACGAGGAACAACGCUGCUGUGUGCGGUGAGAGUUGGUGCUGUUUGACGUCCUCACUACGCACAUGCUGGAAAUGGCGUGUGCGUGCCUGGGUGGGGCGCGUGUUGGGUGGGCAAUGUGAUAGCUGUGGGCUUUCCCUUUUGGGGGUUCGACCGCUGGUGGCGGUAGUGCAGCGGGCCGUAUUCUUCACAUGACGCCCCACCCCACGGAGGCACCGAAGGAAAGAGAGAAAUAGACG
rnacentral:misc_RNA from 1 species